rnacentral:rRNA from 1 species
UACGAAGGGGGCGAGCGUUGUUCGGAUUUACUGGGCGUAAAGGGCGCGCAGGCGGUCAUUUUUGUCGAGGGUGAAAGCCCCGGGCUUAACCUGGGAACUGCGCUCGAAACGGGAUGACUAGAGAUCGGGAGAGGAGAGUGGAAUUCCCAGUGUAGAGGUGAAAUUCGUAGAUAUCGUAAGGAAGACCAGUGGCGAAGGCGGGUCUCUGGACAGUUCCUGACGCUGAGGCACGAAGGCCAGGGGAGCAAACGGG